rnacentral:rRNA from 1 species
GGGUGACAGGGAGACAGGUGGUGCAUGGUUGUCGUCAGCUCGUGUCGUGAGAUGUUGGGUUAAGUCCCGCAACGAGCGCAACCCCUACGUUUAGUUGCUAACGCGUGAAGGCGAGCACUCUAGACGAACUGCCGUUGACAAAACGGAGGAAGGUGGGGAUGACGUCAAAUCAUCAUGCCCCUUAUGUUCUGGGCUACACACGUGCUACAAUGGCCGGUACAGACGGACGCAAAGCCGCGAGGUGGAGCAAAUCCUAAAAAGCCGGUCUCAGUUCGGAUUGCAGGCUGCAAUUCGCCUGCAUGAAGUCGGAAUCGCUAGUAAUCGCAGGUCAGCAUACUGCGGUGAAUACGUUCCCGGGCCUU